rnacentral:lncRNA from 1 species
GUUUGGUUUGCCAUCACUUUUUGUGACUUUUCUGACAUCUGCAAGUGUCGGAAGUGUGACCUGAAACAUUUAAGGACACUUCUGCCUGAACCAUGGGCAGAUGUUUAGACUCCAAGAUACAGAGGAGGAGGGUCUUGGAGGUUUCUUAGUAUAAGUUCCUCCCUGUGGUACUUGCAGUUCCUACAAGGGGCUGUCAGAGAAACAAGCCGGAGCAGAAGAGCAAGACAUGGUCCUGGUGCAUGAAAGGAGCCUAAGAAAGAAGAGUGAAAGCUGCACGUGUUCUACCUCCAGAAAGCCAUAAAAGAGAAAAGAAUGUUGUACCAAACUAAGCAAAUGAAGCAUGAAAUGAAAAGCCGGUUGAGCUGGGAGGUAUAAAGAAUGGAAAGGAAGCAGCUACCACCCCUGGUAACCCCAUCAAUCCGGAGAAGCUUCGCAGAGUUACACUGUGCUCUGUCGGGAAGGAAAUGAAUUUUCCUCAUUGUACACAUUCCGAGAAAAAUGAGGCUAAGACUAUUUCAAAGGAUGUUCUACCUAAUUCGAAUGGGCUUUAAGUGCCAUCUUCACAAUAGCGCCAGAGUCUGGUGUCAGCAAACUGAACAAAUAGAGCUACAGGGAGCGAAUGGGGCUGGGUGCCUCUCCAAAACAUAUGCAGAUGAACUUGAGAUUUCAGAGGACGGUUAAUCCUACACAGCAGUCAAGUGCCUUCCCAGGGGGCUCCCUUCCAAACACUGGCUGCCACGUCAAACCAAAGGGGACGAGCAAUCAGACUCACCUCAAACGCCAGUUAAGAAAGCCGGCCUUACUUAAGCAAUCAAGGGCAAGUGAUCAGCCAACUCUGCUUUCUUUCCUUUCUCUUGGAUCAUUUAUAGACCUUGUGGCCGUGGCCACCACAUUGAGAAGCCCUUGGUCUCUACUUGGACUCACUAUAGCAGAGCAUCCUGGCAGGCAUCCACUGUGCCAUAUGCUUUCGGGAAGUCUGGAUGCUGAAUGUGGUGGCUGUGGGGAAUUGAGCCUUAUUGCUUCAUAAGAUUCCUGGUGGUAGAACUAUUCUGAACAAGAACACGUCCGUCCCCAUAGGUGUGCUCCAAGAAUCACAGAAUAAGAAGGGACUUCGGAGAGAGCCUCACACAGUUGGGCAAUGGGAGCCCAGAGAGGCAAGGAAGGCUCCUUGCCCAAAGUCUUGUACAUCUGAAUCUGCAACUCCUGACUAUUUUUGAGUCUUAUGCUCCAGGCUAAAACUUGUGACUUUAAGUGUGAUGUUCUCGGUGAUGAUUAAUCUAGGAUGUUUCUGUUGUUUUCUUACCGUCAAAGAAUUAACAUCAAAAGGAAAGGAAGGAAGAAAUGUAGAAGUGAAGGCAAGAAGGAAGGAAGGAGGAAAGGAAGGAAGGAAAAUAUAGGCUUUGGGUAAAAAUAAGUUUCUACUCAACACUGACAAAGGUACAGGUUUUGGACAUUGGUUUCCUAAUCUGUAAAUGAGGAAUAGUCAUCACAUCGCUGUCCUGGCUGGUUUUGUGUGUCAACUUGACACAAGCUGGAGUUAUCACAGAGAAAGGAAAGAAAAUGCCUCCAUGAGAUCUAGCUGUAAAUGGAUUAGUGAUCAAGAGUGGGAGGGCCCAGUGUGGGUGGUGCCAUCCCUGGACUGGUGGUCCUGGGUUCUACAAGAAAACAAGCUGAGCAAGCCAGGGGAAGCAAGCCAGGGGAACAUCCCUCCACGGCUCUGCAUCAGCUCCUGCUUCCUGCCCUGUGUGAGUUCCAGUCCUGACUUCCUUUGGUGACGAACAGCAAUGUGAUAGUAUAAGCUGAAUAAACCCUUUCCUCCCCAAC